rnacentral:lncRNA from 1 species
UUCUUUCCCAUUCGUGAUCUCCUCAUCCCCUAAUAAUAAUAAUAAUAAUAGAAUUGAAUUAGAAUACUUUUAAAAAUACCAAUUCUUUAGCACCGAUUUGAUUCGGAGUUAAGGGGUGAAAUAAUUUCUUAACCCCGAAAUUAUUUUCAAACACUCAAUUUGUGGGGUGGGGUCCCUACUCCGCUACUCUAACCAAACAAAACACUAUUUUACCUACUAUCCUUUUUAUCUCAUCUACUCCAACCAAACACUAUUUUAUCUAUACCUCGACUAAACCCAAUUAUCAACAAAACACAAAAUUAUUCUAAUCCCACCUUAACCCUGAACUUAACCAUAUCAUGAAAUAACAAAUUUUUACUUAACUCCGAACCAAACUGUGGCUUAGUGCUUCUAAGUUUCUAACCCUUGGAUCUACUUCUUGAUUACUAAUAGUCUUUGGAUCAAACAAUAUUCUGUCUACCACCACUUGUCACCAUCAUCUCAACCUCACAUCUUUCCAUUCAAUGGCUAAAACACAAAAGCACCAUCUUUAUAGUGGUUUUGAGAGUAUUCCACCUCAACUCUAUAAUAAUAUAUAUAUAUAUAUAUAAGGGGCAAUUGCUUAUAUACUCAUGAAAAGUUUCCGACUUUCCAAUUUACCUCUCUUAGAAGGUUAAUAUUGAAAAUAUCCUUUCUACAUUCCAACUUAUUUCUAAUAUACCCCUAAAGUUAAAAUCUGUUAAUUACUUUGUUAUCUCUAUAAAAUUACUAUUUUGCCCUUUCAAAUAUACCUUUCUACAAUCACUGACUUUCUUAUUUGCCUUUAAAGUCAGGGGCACAAAAAAGUAUUUUGACUUUUGGUCUUUUUCAAUAUACCCCUUUAUCGUCACCAAUAUUUUUUAUUUGCCCUUAAGUUAAGGCCAAAAUUAGCAUUUUAAUUUUUUUUAACUGUGGUAGAUAUUUAACUCACGUUUAAUCAAAAUUAACUUAUCAGGAGGUAACUGCGGAGGUAUUUUGCAAUAACGGUGGAACAUAUGAAGGGUAUUUUAGAAAAAAAAAGGAAUAAAUCGAAUAUUUUUAAACGUAUGAGGAGUACACAGGCGAUUAUCCCUAUAUAUAAAAUUUAUUUUUGUGUGGCAUCGCUUUUGCCACUUUACUCAUGUACAAAAUUUCUAGGGCCAAGCUACCAAAUUUGAGCAGUUUAUUGAUAUAAACGUUUAUAGUAAUACGUCAAGUGUCACACAUUCGCAUCAUAGGAGAUCCGGCGAUUUUUUAACAAGCAAAAAAGAAGAAGCGAGCGUGAUAUACUCGGUAUUAUUCAUAAGUCACAACUAAGAUCUAGUCAAAUUAGUGAAAUCCUGGAGAUUGCUUAUACUAGGAUCCGGUACCGUUUGGUUCGGGUAUAAGCAAGAACUAGCUAUUAUAGAAAUAAGUAUAAGUAUGGGGAUAAGAAAAAUAGUAUUUGGAUGAAAAUUGGAUUGUUACUGGGAUAAGAACAAUUUUAGAUAGUUUUAUAUAGAAAAUAAAAGUGUUGGUGGGGACAACCGAGAACUAUUAUUCUCGGAUAAAAAAUUAGCGUUUGAAUAUAAAAGGAGGGAUAAGGAUCUAUUUCUAUUCCUAUUCUCUAACCAAAUGCUGCUGAGUCGGGAGUGACAAUCGUUGUUUAAUUGCCGUAGUUUGUUAUGUUACAUUUUGAAAAGUUGCAUCCUCAAACUUCUCACUCCUGAUUUUUUUUGAAUGGUAUUCAUAGGUUCACGUGGAGUCCUAAUUUUAAGAGCAUUCAAGUAACUUAAGGGAAAAAGAAAAAGAAAAAGAAAAUCUAUCGACUGUGUGUUGAUGUGCUGUAUAUUUUAUAAUACCAUAAGAGAAAUAAAAUUGUACUUACGUCAUACCAUUUGUUUUGAAAUGGCGUCUCAUUUUCAUGAAGAGUAUUUUCUUGAGUGCCUGUUUAGUUAAAACAGCAAACACACAUCAAAUGUGAUGAGGGAAAGCCUUCGAGAUAUUUGAGAGAAUAAUAAAAUGUGUUAUCACAAUUUCUAUAGAAAAGUCAUCUCAUAUUUUGACGCACACAAGGCUUUUUUUCGACGGUUAUAGAUUUGAGCCAUAGUUGGGGACUGAUGCUCUUUGUGGGGUGGGGUCCCUACUCCGCUACUCUAACCAAACAAAACACUAUUUUACCUACUAUCCUUUUUAUCUCAUCUACUCCAACCAAACACUAUUUUAUCUAUACCUCGACUAAACCCAAUUAUCAACAAAACACAAAAUUAUUCUAAUCCCACCUUAACCCUGAACUUAACCAUAUCAUGAAAUAACAAAUUUUUACUUAACUCCGAACCAAACUGUGGCUUAGUGCUUCUAAGUUUCUAACCCUUGGAUCUACUUCUUGAUUACUAAUAGUCUUUGGAUCAAACAAUAUUCUGUCUACCACCACUUGUCACCAUCAUCUCAACCUCACAUCUUUCCAUUCAAUGGCUAAAACACAAAAGCACCAUCUUUAUAGUGGUUUUGAGAGUAUUCCACCUCAACUCUAUAAUAAUAUAUAUAUAUAUAUAAGGGGCAAUUGCUUAUAUACUCAUGAAAAGUUUCCGACUUUCCAAUUUACCUCUCUUAGAAGGUUAAUAUUGAAAAUAUCCUUUCUACAUUCCAACUUAUUUCUAAUAUACCCCUAAAGUUAAAAUCUGUUAAUUACUUUGUUAUCUCUAUAAAAUUACUAUUUUGCCCUUUCAAAUAUACCUUUCUACAAUCACUGACUUUCUUAUUUGCCUUUAAAGUCAGGGGCACAAAAAAGUAUUUUGACUUUUGGUCUUUUUCAAUAUACCCCUUUAUCGUCACCAAUAUUUUUUAUUUGCCCUUAAGUUAAGGCCAAAAUUAGCAUUUUAAUUUUUUUUAACUGUGGUAGAUAUUUAACUCACGUUUAAUCAAAAUUAACUUAUCAGGAGGUAACUGCGGAGGUAUUUUGCAAUAACGGUGGAACAUAUGAAGGGUAUUUUAGAAAAAAAAAGGAAUAAAUCGAAUAUUUUUAAACGUAUGAGGAGUACACAGGCGAUUAUCCCUAUAUAUAAAAUUUAUUUUUGUGUGG